AGUGAACGCUGGCGGUAGGCCUAACACAUGCAAGUCGAACGGCAGCACAGUAAGAGCUUGCUCUUACGGGUGGCGAGUGGCGGACGGGUGAGGAAUACAUCGGAAUCUACUUUUUCGUGGGGGAUAACGUAGGGAAACUUACGCUAAUACCGCAUACGACCUACGGGUGAAAGCAGGGGAUCUUCGGACCUUGCGCGAUUGAAUGAGCCGAUGUCGGUUUAGCUAGUUGGCGGGGUAAAGGCCCACCCAGGCGACGAUCCGUAGCUGGUCUGAGAGAAUGAUCAGCGACACUAGAACUGAGACACGGUCAAUAUUCCUAAGGGAGGCAGCAGUGGGGAAUAUUUGAGAAUGGGCGCAAGCCUGAUCCAGCCAUACCGCGUGGGUGAAGAAGGGCUUCGGGUUGUAAAGCCCUUUUGUUGGGAAAGAAAGGCAGCAGGGUAAUACCCCGCUGUUCUGACGGUACCCAAAGAAUAAGCACCGGCUAACUUCGUG
rnacentral:rRNA from 1 species